GGACGAAAGUCGACGGAGCAACCCGCGUGAGUGAUGAAGGUUUUCGGAUCGUAAAGCUCUGUUGUUAGGGAAGAACAAGUGCCGUUCAAAUAGGGCGGCACCUUGACGGUACCUAACCAGAAAGCCACGGCUAACUACGUGCCAGCAGCCGCGGUAAUACGUAGGUGGCAAGCGUUGUCCGGAAUUAUUGGGCGUAAAGGGCUCGCAGGCGGUUUCUUAAGUCUGAUGUGAAAGCCCCCGGCUCAACCGGGGAGGGUCAUUGGAAACUGGGGAACUUGAGUGCAGAAGAGGAGAGUGGAAUUCCACGUGUAGCGGUGAAAUGCGUAGAGAUGUGGAGGUACACCAGGUCGAAGGCGACUCUCUGGUCUGUAACUGACGCUGAGGAGCGAAAGCGUGGGGAGCGAACAGGAUUAGAUACCCUGGUAGUCCACGCCGUAAACGAUGAGUGCUAAGUGUUAGGGGGUUUCCGCCCCUUAGUGCUGCAGCUAACGCAUUAAGCACUCCGCCUGGGGAGUACGGUCGCAAGACUGAAACUCAAAGGAAUUGACGGGGGCCCGCACAAGCGGUGGAGCAUGUGGUUUAAUUCGAAGCAACGCGAAGAACCUUACCAGGUCUUGACAUCCUCUGACAAUCCUAGAGAUAGGACGUCCCCUUCGGGGGCAGAGUGACAGGUGGUGCAUGGUUGUCGUCGCUCGUGUCGUGAGAUGUUGGGUUAAGUCCCGCAACGAGCGCAACCCUUGAUCUUAGUUGACAGCAUUCAGUUGGGCACUCUAAGGUGACUGCCGGUGACAAACCGGAGGAAGGUGGGGAUGACGUCAAAUCAUCAUGCCCCUUAUGACCUGGGCUACACACGUGUUACAAUGGACAGAACAAAGGGCAGCGAAACCGCGAGGUUAAGCCAAUCCCACAAAUCUGUUUUCAGUUCGGAUCGCAGUCUGCAACUCGACUGCGUGAAGCUGGAAUCGCUAGUAAUCGCGGAUCAGCAUGCCGCGGUGAAUGCGUUCCCGGGCCUUGUACACAC
rnacentral:rRNA from 1 species